GGACGUUAAAUUAAGGGCGUACGGUGGAUGCCUUGGCAUCAAAUGGCGAUGAAGGACGCGGCGUAACAGCGAUAUGCUUCGGGGAGGUGUUAGCAACCUUUGAUCCGGAGAUUUCCGAAUGGGAAAACCUAAUUGCGUAAACCGCAAUUGUUCUCCGAGUAACAUCGGAGUUCGCGUAUCCGCUGAAGUGAAACAUCUCAGUAAGCGGAAGAAGAUAAAUCAAUAGAGAUUCCCCAAGUAGCGGCGAGCGAAAAGGGAACAGCCCAAACUUGAAGUGUGCUUUCUGGAAACUGGAUGUCAGAAGUCGAUUUAUCGGCUACUAGUUCAGAGCUUCCGUUAAGUUACGUUUUGAGGGUCGUAAGAUAGAAAUUUUUUAACUUUAAAAUUGGGCCGUCGAUAGUGGCGGAUCAAUUUUACUGUUAAAGGGAAGUCAAAAAAUUGUCGGUUAGUUGAAUCCUCUGGAAAGAGGAGCCAAAGAGAGUGAUAGCCUCGUAAACAAAAACUGACAAUCUUCCUGUUUCUACCGGUAUCAAAUCCGGAGAUGGCCGUAAAUGGUUAUCUAUCUUGAGUACUCCGCGGCCAAUAUACCGUGGAGGAAGGAACGAGCACUAUACUCGUGAGGCUAAAUACAUUUGAUGACCGAUAGUGAACUAGUACCGUGAGGGAAAGGUGAAAAGCAGCCCGAUGAGGGCGAUGAAAUAGUACCUGAAACCAUAUGCCUACAAGGACUCGAAGCCUAAAACGUUUUGCAGCAAUGCAAGAUGAAUGGGUAACGUGGUGCCUAUUGAAGAAUGAGCCAACGACUUUACGGGGGCGGCGAGGGUAAGCGCGAUAAGCGUGGACCCGAAGGGAAACCGAGUGUGAAUAACGCGAUAGUCGUUUCCGUAAGACCCGAAGCCAAGCGAGCUUGUCCUGAGCAGGAUGAACUCUGGGUAACACCAGAGGGAGGUCCGAACUAGUGGGUUGUGCAAAACCCUUGGAUGACUUGGGAUAAGAAGUGAAAAGCUAAUCGAGCUUGGUAAUAGCUGGUUCUCUCCGAAACAGUUUCCGGACUGGCGCCUAGUCUUCACCGAACAUCGGCGAAGAGGUGUGAUGGGGGUAGAGCACUGGAUGGUCUGUACAGAGCGCAAGCUCGGCAGACCAAUCAAACUCCGAAUACCAUUACGCAAAAAAUAGGUAGUUAGACUGCGGGGGCGAAGCUCCGUGGUCGCAAGGGAAAAAGCCCAGAUCGUCGUCUAAGGUCCCAAAAUUCUUACUAAGUGUAAAAGGUAGUAGUAAACCAUUGACAGAUAGGAGGUUGGCUUAGAGGCAGCCAUCCUUUAAAGAGUGCGUAACAGCUCACUAUUCGAUGGUUUAUUGCGCCAAAAAUG
rnacentral:rRNA from 1 species